GUCCUAGCCCUAAACGGUGCACGCUUGCUGUAAGAGGAAUCGACCCCUCUUGUGGCGAAGCUAACGCGAUAAGCGUGCCGCCUGGGGAGUACGGUCGCAAGAUUAAAACUCAAAGAAAUUGACGGGGGCCUGCACAAGCGGUGGAGUAUGUGGCUUAAUUCGAUGCAACGCGAAGAACCUUACCUGGCCUUGACAUGCAUUUGGUAGAACCAUGAAAGUGGGACGACCCCGCAAGGGGAGGAUGCACAGGUGCUGCAUGGCUGUCGU
rnacentral:rRNA from 1 species